GUGGGGAAUCUUCCGCAAUGGACGACAGUCUGACGGAGCGACGCCGCGUGAGUGAAGAAGGCCUUCGGGUCGUAAAGCUCUGUCAUCAGGGACGAACGGCCGGUGGAGUGGAAAGCCACCGGAUUGACGGUACCUGAGAAGGAAGCCACGGCUAACUACGUGCCAGCAGCCGCGGUAAUACGUAGGUGGCAAGCGUUGUCCGGAAUUAUUGGGCGUAAAGCGCGCGCAGGUGGGAUCUUAAGUCCAUUUUGAAAGUUCGGAGCUCAACUCCGUGAUGGGAUGGAAACUGGGAUUCUUGAGUACCGGAGAGGAAAGCGGAAUUCCCCGUGUAGCGGUGAAAUGCGUAGAUAUGGGGAGGAACACCAGUGGCGAAGGCGGCUUUCUGGACGGUGUCUGACACUGAGGCGCGAAAGCUAGGGGAGCGAACGGGAUUAGAAACCCCGGUAGUCC
rnacentral:rRNA from 1 species